AUUGAACGCUGGCGGCAGGCCUAACACAUGCAAGUCGAACGGUAACAGGAAGCAGCUUGCUGCUUUGCUGACGAGUGGCGGACGGGUGAGUAAUGUCUGGGAAACUGCCUGAUGGAGGGGGAUAACUACUGGAAACGGUAGCUAAUACCGCAUAACGUCGCAAGACCAAAGAGGGGGACCUUCGGGCCUCAUGCCAUCGGAUGUGCCCAGAUGGGAUUAGCUAGUAGGUGGGGUAACGGCUCACCUAGGCGACGAUCCCUAGCUGGUCUGAGAGGAUGACCAGCCACACUGGAACUGAGACACGGUCCAGACUCCUACGGGAGGCAGCAGUGGGGAAUAUUGCACAAUGGGCGCAAGCCUGAUGCAGCCAUGCCGCGUGUAUGAAGAAGGCCUUCGGGUUGUAAAGUACUUUCAGCGGGGAGGAAGGGAGUAAAGUUAAUACCUUUGCUCAUUGACGUUACCCGCAGAAGAAGCACCGGCUAACUCCGUG
rnacentral:rRNA from 1 species